CGGGUGAGUAAUGCCUAGGAAUCUGCCUGGUAGUGGGGGACAACGUUUCGAAAGGAACGCUAAUACCGCAUACGUCCUACGGGAGAAAGCAGGGGACCUUCGGGCCUUGCGCUAUCAGAUGAGCCUAGGUCGGAUUAGCUAGUUGGUGAGGUAAUGGCUCACCAAGGCGACGAUCCGNUAACUGGUCUGAGAGGAUGAUCAGUCACACUGGAACUGAGACACGGUCCAGACUCCUACGGGAGGCAGCAGCC
rnacentral:rRNA from 1 species